AUGUUAAGACAUAUGCUAAGACAUUGGAAAAAUACAGAGGAGAUUAGCAUGGCCCCUACAGAAGGAUAACACUGAAUUUUGUGAAGCAAUCCAUAUUUUU
ensembl:snRNA U6 U6 spliceosomal RNA